rnacentral:lncRNA from 1 species
UUUGUUUAUCUUAUCUAUCAUUUUGCUGCAAGUUCCAGAUUUGUUCUCCAUUACUAAUUCGAUGAACUCUUUCAAUAGUGGUAAACAUUUAUAUAACCUUUUAAAAUUGUAAUGACUUUUACAAAUCGAUAAAGGCAGAAUUUCUUUGUUUAAUUAUUUCAGUAUGUUGCUGCUUGUAUUCUGUGUGUCGUAGUGCACUCCAGCCCACAAGGUAAACUUUUUCAAUUAAAAUUUGUAUUGUAAUGUAAUGAAUAAAAUGUCACAAACUAUUAGACUAUAUAAUAUUCCAAAUCGAUCUGGUGACACUAAAAAUAUAAAAAGUGUGUAUCAACAAUUUGUUC